ensembl:lncRNA
CCUGCAAGCUGGGUCCUGGAGGUCUCAUCCACGAGCAGGCCGGCUGGGACAGGUCACUGCCUGGAGCCCCGCACGCCAGCCUAGGCCAAGCGCACCCACAGGCCUUCCCAAGUCUCCAGGCGGCGGCCCCGCCCCUUCCGGUUGGGCGCCCCUGGACUUCCGGUUCCUCCUCUGUGUCUGGUCUGUUGUAGGUGUCGGGUCGCAAUCAUCUCCGUCUCAAGGCCUGUCGCUCGUCACCCGUCACACACAGCCUCCCCGGCCCCACAAGGCCGUUCUCAGUGACUUCGAGGGGAAGCUUCAUAAUCCAUGUGAAGUUCCCCAUGGCUGGGGGGUGGGGGUCAGCUGGACACUCCCUACCCCCCCAAACUCGCUCAGGCCCGAGCUUUAAUUUGGUCGAGUUUUUGAAAGCAAAGGCGAGCUCUUUAGUAAUGAAGACGCCUUGAGAGUGGGCGUGGUUCAGCCGCUACACAGAACACACUGGACACCUGAGCCUGGACCUUGGGCCCAUCUGACUGGUCAGAGGAGGAGGGGUGACUGGUUCUGACCCCCCUCCCCUGCUUGCCCUCGUCCGUAGGUCCAACAAUCAAACAAGUCAUGUGUCCUGGAAUCAGACUGGCCGAGGUAAAGCGUCCAGGACUUGGCCUCCUGCCUCCCCGCCCCGGAGUAGCCUGCAGGGGAGCGUGUGCCAGUCAUUCUCGGGGCCAGGAAGCAUAAUGAGGGCCUGAGUGAGCCCGAGGAGGGGCGCCUCUACCCCCACCGGCUUCUGGGACCAAAAUCCUCUUCCCAAGGAGCCUGGGGAUAAGCACGGUGGCCACGUGGGAAGGCAGGAGCAGAAAGCCCACGAUGACUUGAGUUGUAAACCUGGGCGUCUCUCUGUCGUCUCAGCUGCCAUCCGCUGGGACAGGGCUGAGUCCUAGCUGGUGCCCGUGCCCCAGUGGGCAUAGCUGGUGCCCGUGCCCCAGUGGGCAUGUGGUUCCUUCUCGUGGACCCGCGGCCUCUCUGCCUGGAUUUCUCCUCUGGCAGCUUGCAACUCAGGGUAUCUGCAGCUUUUAACUUCGAGUUAAUUCAGGCUGUCAAAUAGUUCAUUUUCUCCUGGUGGGUGGAAUAAAACUGACGUCUGACUCUCUAGCC